rnacentral:rRNA from 1 species
UUGACCUCGGAUCAGGUAGGGAUACCCGCUGAACUUAAGCAUAUCAAUAAGCGGAGGAAAGAAACCAACAGGGAUUGCCUCAGUAACGGCGAGUGAAGCGGCACAGCUC